rnacentral:rRNA from 1 species
UACGUAGGGGGCUAGCGUUGUCCGGAUUUAUUGGGCGUAAAGCGCGCGCAGGCGGUCCUUUAAGUCUGAUGUGAAAGCCCACGGCUCAACCGUGGAGGGUCAUUGGAAACUGGGGGACUUGAGUGCAGAAGAGGAAAGUGGAAUUCCACGUGUAGCGGUGAAAUGCGUAGAGAUGUGGAGGAACACCAGUGGCGAAGGCGACUUUCUGGUCUGUAACUGACGCUGAGGCGCGAAAGCGUGGGGAGCAAACAGG